AACGAACGCUGGCGGCAGGCUUAACACAUGCAAGUCGAACGGGUGUAGCAAUACAUCAGUGGCAGACGGGUGAGUAACACGUGGGAACCUUCCUAGGGGUACGGAACAACUCAGGGAAACUUGAGCUAAUACCGUAUACGUCCGUGAGGAGAAAGAUUUAUCGCCCUUAGACGGGCCCGCGUCGGAUUAGGUAGUUGGUGGGGUAACGGCCUACCAAGCCUACGAUCCGUAGCUGAUCUUAGAGGAUGAUCAGCCACACUGGGACUGAGACGCGGCCCAGACUCCUACGGGAGGCAGCAGUGGGGAAUCUUGGACAAUGGGCGCAAGCUUGAUCCAGCCAUGCCGCGUGAGUGGAGAAGGCCUUAGGGUUGUAAAGCUCUUUUACCAGGGACGAUAAUGACGGUACCUGGAGAAUAAGCCCCGGCAAACUUCGUGCCAGCCGCCGCCGUAAUAC
rnacentral:rRNA from 1 species